rnacentral:rRNA from 1 species
GAUGAACGCUGGCGGCGUGCUUAACACAUGCAAGUCGAACGGAAAGGCCCAAGCUUGCUUGGGUCCUCGAGUGGCGAACGGGUGAGUAACACGUGGGUGAUCUGCCCUGCACUUCGGGAUAAGCCUGGGAAACUGGGUCUAAUACCGGAUAGGACCACUUCUUGGAUGUUGUGGUGGAAAGUUUUUUCGGUGUGGGAUGAGCUCGCGGCCUAUCAGCUUGUUGGUGGGGUAAUGGCCUACCAAGGCGUCGACGGGUAGCCGGCCUGAGAGGGUGUACGGCCACAUUGGGACUGAGAUACGGCCCAGACUCCUACGGGAGGCAGCAGUGGGGAAUAUUGCACAAUGGGCGCAAGUCUGAUGCAGCGACGCCGCGUGGGGGAUGACGGCCUUCGGGUUGUAAACUCCUUUCGCUAGGGACGAAGCGUUUUGUGACGGUACCUGGAGAAGAAGCACCGGCUAACUACGUG